GGAGCCGUAGCUCAGCGGGAGAGCGUCGUCCGCUACGCGGCGAAGGGCGAUGGUUCAAAUCCGUCCGGCUCCAUCA
rnacentral:tRNA from 1 species